AGCAGCAGCAGUCGAAGAAGAAGAACCGUAAACAAACUAAACUGAGGCGGCGUUUGUGUUUAGUUUUUAGGUUUUAACAGAAGAUGGAGGCACUCAGCAGACGGGCUCUGGACCGGAUUUACUCCGCGGUAUUGUUGGCAGUUGUGGUUUUGUCCUGGUCUUAUGUGAUCUACGCCAGCAGGAUCGCCUCCGUUUGGCUGCUGGAACAGAGGACGCGUCGUUGAGGCAAGACUGACCGUGCGUCAGAGUGCAGGCGUACAGGCUGAUGGACCCCUUUGAGCCCUCGUUCCAGAGGUUCAGACCUGAACAUAUGGUGACUGUUCAGGUAGAAGAGGACAGAAGCAGCUGAAAGCACCAGAAGUUUCCAGGAGGUCAGAUCUGAAAGGAGACGACACAAACAACCAAAAACUGGUUUAAAAGCGGGAAAAGACGGCGUAAUGAGAGACACAAUGAGCUUGAGUGGGUUCUAUGGGGACUGCGUUUAGCCCACAACACAGUAAA